rfam:Camelus ferus unplaced genomic scaffold scaffold384, whole genome shotgun sequence.
GAAGGUUUAGCUCAAUGGUAGAGUGUGUGCUUAGCAUGCAUGAGGUCUUGGGGUUCAAUCCCCAUUACCUCCA